UGGCGAAAAUAACUACGCUCUCGCUGCCUAACCGAAGCACAGUAAGUUAGCUUUAUUUCUGCCACAGUGGCAGAAACGAGACAUCACCCGAUUGCCUUGCUCUGAGACGUUUCGAUAAGGUGGUGCUAAUAAAAUCGGAGCUGGGACGGCUUGUUCUCCGGUAGCUGUCCGAGAUUUUAGGAGAUAAGCCUUGGGUUGGUAGUUUUGAUCCUGCCCACGGUCGAAAACCAAGUCAAAACUAAGCAUGUAGAAAGCAUAUUAGUUCCACGUUUGGACGAGAGUUCGAAUCUCUCCAUCUCCACUU
rnacentral:tmRNA from 1 species